rnacentral:rRNA from 1 species
CCUACGGGUGGCAGCAGUGGGGGAUAGUGCACAAUGGGGGAAACCCUGAUGCAGCGACGCCGCGUGUAGGAAGACGGUCCUCUGGAUUGUACACUACUGUCCCCAGGGACGAAGAUGACGGUACCUGGGGAGGAAGCUACGGCUAACUACGUGCCAGCAGACGCGGUAAUACGUAGGGAGCGAGCGUUGUCCGGAAUUACGGGGUGUAAAGGGAGCGUAGGCGGGGAUGCAAGUUGGGUGUUAAAUCUACCGGCUCAACUGGUAGGCGCACUCAAAACUGCAGCUCUUGAGUGCAGUAGAGGCAGGCGGAAUUCCUAGUGUAGCGGUGAAAUGCGUAGAUAUUAGGAGGAACACCAGUGGCGAAGGCGGCCUGCUGGGCUUUUACUGACGCUGAGGCUCGAAAGUGUGGGGAGCAAACAGGAUUAGAUACCCGGGUAGUC